GGUCCUUCUGUUGGUAGCUCAGCUUGCACUAGUGAUAUGGUUGAGAGUGUUGAGAGGCCAAACCGUGUAGUUCGCUCCUUGUUUAGAGACAAUGAUGCUUCCCAACCCAAUGGAUUUAGUUCCUCUACAAUUAGCAGCAGCCAUUUUGAUGGUCAGUUGGGUUCUUCUGUUGACAAGUUUAUAUCAGAGAAUGAAUUGAUUGUAAAUGAAUUUCUCCAUGAGCGACAUCAUAGCAUUGUUGAUGUCCUCAGUACUGACAAAGAAAACAGUAUCAAGGCAAAAAUAAGAGAGACAAUGGAGGCUGCCUUUUGGGAUGGUGUCAUGGAAUCCAUCAAACAGGAUGAGCCAUGCUAUGAUCGGGUUGUUGAACUUGUGAGGGAGGUGAGGGAUGGAAUUAGUGAGAUGG
rnacentral:misc_RNA from 1 species